AUGCCGUUUUCGGGGGGUGACGGUGCCGUUCUGUCGCCAGCUCUGCUCGUGGCCGUCAGGAUCAACGGCAAGGGCCGCGAGGUUCUGUACCUGGCCAAGGGCGACUCGGUCAAGCUGGGCUGUCCCUACGUCCUGGAGCCCGAGGACAACGGACCCCAGGGCGUGGGGAUCGAGUGGAUCCAGAUCACCCCCGAGAGACCCGGCCCCGAGAACGUGUUCCUGUCCUACCACGACCACCACGUGAACUACGGCAGCUCGGGGCUGCAGGACCGCGUGGCCUUCGUGCCAACCCAAACCUAACCUAAACCCAACUCUAACGUAAACCCAACCCUAACCUAAACACAAACCGAAC
rnacentral:lncRNA from 12 species